CCUACGGGAGACAGCAGUGAGGAAUAUUGGUCAAUGGCCGGAAGGCUGAACCAGCCAUGCCGCGUGAAGGUCAGUGCCCUAUGGGCGUUAAACUUCUUUUGUGCGGGAGCAAUAAUGGUCACGUGUGGCCAGACUAGAGUACCGUACGAAUAAGCAUCGGCUAAACCCGGGCCAGCAGCCGCGGUAAUACGGGGGAUGCAAGCGUUAUCCGGAUUUAUUGGGUUUAAAGGGUGCGUAGGCUGUGAGGUAAGUCAGCGGUGAAAUGCCCCCGCUCAACGGGGUGAAGUGCCAUUGAUACUGGCUUGCUGGAAUGCGGAUGCGGUGGGAGGAAUGUGUGGUGUAGCGGUGAAAUGCAUAGAUAUCACACAGAACACCGAUUGCGAAGGCAUCUCACGAAUCCGCGAUUGACGCUGAUGCACGAAAGCGUGGGUAUCAAACAGGAUUAGAUACCCUUGUAGUC
rnacentral:rRNA from 1 species